rnacentral:rRNA from 1 species
GAUGAACGCUGGCGGCGUGCCUAAUACAUGCAAGUCGAGCGAACAGACGAGGAGCUUGCUCCUCUGACGUUAGCGGCGGACGGGUGAGUAACACGUGGAUAACCUACCUAUAAGACUGGGAUAACUUCGGGACACCGGAGCUAAUACCGGAUAAUAUAUUGAACCGCAUGGUUCAAUAGUGAAAGACGGUUUUGCUGUCACUUCUAGAUGGAUCCGCGCCGCAUUAGCUAGUUGGUAAGGUAACGGCUUACCAAGGCAACGAUGCGUAGCCGACCUGAGAGGGGGGUCGGCGACACUGGAACGGAGACACGGUCCAGACGCCUACGGGAGGCAGCAGUAGGGAAUCUGCGGCAAUGGGCGAAAGCUUGACGGAGCAACGCCGCGUGAGUGAUGAAGGUCUUCGGAUCGUAAAACUCUGUUAUGAGGGAAGAACAAAUGUGUAAGUAACUAUGCACGUCUUGACGGUACCUAAUCAGAAAGCCACGGCUAACUACGUG